CGGCAGUUGCAAUUGUUGCUGAUGCUGCUGCUGCUGCUGAUGCUCGUGUUGCUGCUGCUGCUGCUUGUGCUGGCCAACUGAUGCACACUUGUUGCCAGUUCAAAAACGAAACCGCUCGAGCGAGGAGUUAUGAUUAUGAUUGCUGAUAAACAUCGGCAGUGGCGGCGGCGGCGGCGGCGACUCGCAGCUCACAGGCAAAAUAAAACAACUUCCAAUUAUGACGAACAUAAAAUUGUCUCGAACAUGGUUAAGUCAUUUUGCAAUUGGUAAUAAAAUUGUUAAAUUUACA